rnacentral:rRNA from 1 species
GACGAACGCUGGCGGCGUGCUUAACACAUGCAAGUCGAGCGGUAAGGUCCUUUCGGGGGUACACGAGCGGCGAACGGGUGAGUAACACGUGGGUGACCUGCCCUCAGCUCUGGGAUAAGCCUGGGAAACCGGGUCUAAUACUGGAUAUGACUCCAUGACGCAUGUUGUGGGGUGGAAAGCCUUGUGCGGCUGAGGAUGGGCCCGCGGCCUAUCAGCUUGUUGGUGGGGUGAUGGCCUACCAAGGCGACGACGGGUAGCCGGCCUGAGAGGGCGACCGGCCACACUGGGACUGAGACACGGCCCAGACUCCUACGGGAGGCAGCAGUGGGGAAUCUUGCGCAAUGGGCGAAAGCCUGACGCAGCGACGCCGCGUGAGGGAUGACGGCCU